AGAGUUUGAUCCUGGCUCAGAGCGAACGCUGGCGGCAGGCCUAACACAUGCAAGUCGAACGGACCCUUCGGGGUUAGUGGCGGACGGGUGAGUAACACGUGGGAACGUGCCUUUAGGUUCGGAAUAGCUCCUGGAAACGGGUGGUAAUGCCGAAUGUGCCCUUCGGGGGAAAGAUUUAUCGCCUUUAGAGCGGCCCGCGUCUGAUUAGCUAGUUGGUGGGGUAAUGGCCCACCAAGGCUACGAUCAGUAGCUGGUCUGAGAGGAUGACCAGCCACAUUGGGACUGAGACACGGCCCAAACUCCUACGGGAGGCAGCAGUGGGGAAUCUUGCGCAAUGGGCGAAAGCCUGACGCAGCCAUGCCGCGUGUAUGAUGAAGGUCUUAGGAUUGUAAAAUACUUUCACCGGUGAAGAUAAUGACUGUAGCCGGAGAAGAAGCCCCGGCUAACUUCGUGCCAGCAGCCGCGGUAAUACGAAGGGGGCUAGCGUUGCUCGGAAUUACUGGGCGUAAAGGGAGCGUAGGCGGACAUUUAAGUCAGAGGUGAAAUCCCGGAGCUUAACUUCGGAACUGCCUUUGAUACUGGGUGUCUUGAGUGUGAGAGAGGUAUGUGGAACUCCGAGUGUAGAGGUGAAAUUCGUAGAUAUUCGGAAGAACACCAGUGGCGAAGGCGACAUACUGGCUCAUUACUGACGCUGAGGCUCGAAAGCGUGGGGAGCAAACAGGAUUAGAUACCCUGGUAGUCCACGCCGUAAACGAUGAUUGCUAGUUGUCGGGAAGCUUGCUUCUCGGUGACGCAGCUAA
rnacentral:rRNA from 1 species